GAGCUGUACUGCCAUUGUGAAAUGUAAAUAAUAAUACUGGGUUCUAAUGAGACACGGAACAUGAGACUGUGGCUCAUAGCAGGAGUAAUGGAGACAAAACACACAUCACGACAAGAGAGACAACACUACCUAAAGAGAGACCUAAGACAACAACAUAACAAGCUGGCUGCCCCACUACCACAGAAAGAACUGAGCUAGGCUGAAACAUCUGCAUUUUGGAGCUGCCUUUCUCAAGAAAGCAAAAAA